GACGGGACCCGCACAAGCGGUGGAUGAUGUGGAUUAAUUCGAUGCAACGCGAAAACCUUACCUACCCUUGACAUGUCCGGAAUCCCGAAGAGAUUUGGGAGUGCUCGCAAGAGAACCGGAACACAGGUGCUGCAUGGCUGUCGUCAGCUCGUGUCGUGAGAUGUUGGGUUAAGUCCCGCAACGAGCGCAACCCUUGUCAUUAGUUGCCAUCAUUUGGUUGGGCACUCUAAUGAGACUGCCGGUGACAAACCGGAGGAAGGUGGGGAUGACGUCAAGUCCUCAUGGCCCUUAUGGGUAGGGCUUCACACGUCAUACAAUGGUCGGUACAGAGGGUUGCCAACCCGCGAGGGGGAGCUAAUCCCACAAAGCCGAUCGCAGUCCGGAUCGCAGUCUGCAACUCGACUGCGUGAAGUCGGAAUCGCUAGUAAUCGUGGAUCAGCAUGUCACGGUGAAUACGUUCCCGGGUCUU
rnacentral:rRNA from 1 species